rnacentral:piRNA from 1 species
UGAAAGCCAUUUCCCCUGUCUUAGUGGAUGA